CAAUUUUAAAAAAAAUUAUGAAAAGAAAGAAGUUAUUAAUCCUCUCUCUCCUCUCUCCCCCUGGAGAAAUCUCUCCUCCCUCCUGCAUCCUCGCUUCCUCUUCUCUUUCAACGGCGUUGCGGUCCACCGGUCACCAACGACUGUCAAAUUAUACCUCCAGAAUCCUCUUCCCGUCCUCUUUCCAAACCCCAGGCAUGGGAGCGGCGGGACGGUGAAGAGCGGGGUUGGAGUGACGUCGAUGUGUGUGAUGAGGCCGAAGCUGACGGUGAAGUCGAGCCAGUGGUUAUAGCGCGAGUUUUGGGUGGAGCGAAGUUGAAAGCUGACGAAGAUGUUCCACAGAGACGUUCGUGAAGCUUAUGAUCGUCUCUUCUCAGGUAUUGAUAUAACUUCAGGCAUCGGAGGCCCUUUGGUGGAUACAUUCCCUCAUUUUUUGGGUGUUUGUCAAUUAGAUUUACGAUGUUUCUUGAUUUGUAUGUGGAGUUUCGUCAUUUCAACUGUACGAAAUUUGCAUCCAUAGUGGCAAUGAUGAUGGUAACAUGAGUGAGGGUGUGGUUAACAAUGAUGGUGGUGGAAAUGGUGGUUAUGAGGGAGUAGGAUUGAUGAUGGCGGAGAUGGUGGAGGAGGUUGUGACGGUGGCGGCCCGGUGAUGGGGUGGUGAUGGGAUAGGUGUAGGAUCUGGUGCCAAUGAUGCUUGGUAGUGGAGAUAUGGCGGUAUGGAUGCUAUUUGCGAAGACCAUUGUAAGGUGGUAGCGGGGGAGGACAAGAUUUUUCUUUCUUAAAAUUCUAACCUUGUUUUAUACUUAGUUUGUGGUUUUUAUUUUGUUAUUAAACUUCACAGGAAAAAUAACUUUAAUGUUUUACAUAAUUUAGGCUAAUAUUGUAUUUUAUGUUAUUCGUUUUAUGGGUCUA